UAGGAUGGCUCCUUCUACUACAAGGGAAAAAGGUGCGACAGAGACAGUGCACCCAACACAAAAUAUGAUAUGCAUGAUUCGCCUGCAACUUCAAGUGAAUGUAAAUAGAAUACUGACCUUAACUUCACCCUUGUCUAAGCAAACCUAGAUUUCUCUCUCUUACCUCUUUUCUCUAUUUCCUCACCAUUCUUUCACCUACCAUGAGCCACACCCACUUCUCCAAAUGGGGUGGCUGCAAUCCUUCUUCACUCCAUUGAAGAAGCUUUGGGUUCGGCUGCACUCAGCUCACAAGAAAAGCAGAGGGAUAUACAUCCUGUAUGAAGAUGUCAAGUCCUGCCCCUACGAAGAUGUGCACGUGCUAUGGUCGAUACUAGUUGAGUCACAUCCGGCUGCUCUUCCGUCACCAAAAUGAAGGAUCUGUCUUUUCCUGUCACCAAAAUGAAUGCUCUUACAUGUGCACACAGAAACAUGGCAGAAAAAUGAGAGAUUCUCACUCAUGUACAUAAGUUACGAAAACUGUCUUGCACUGGUAUAAGUUUUGUAUUUCUUUUUCUUUUUUGUUUCUUUACUUUCUUGUAAGUGUACUCCACCUUAGAAUGUGCUUUUAAAUUAUUGAACUUCUGUUUGGCUCAA